AACGAACGCUGGCGGCGUGCCUAACACAUGCAAGUCGAACGGAAUGAGGGGGCUUGCUCCUUCAUUUAGUGGCGCACGGGUGAGUAACGCGUAGAUAAUCUGCCUGAUGAUCUGGGAUAACAUCUCGAAAGGGGUGCUAAUACCGGAUAAGCCCACGGGGUCUUUGGAUUCUGCGGGAAAAGGGGGGGACCUUCGGGCCUUCUGUCAUCAGAUGAGUCUGCGUACCAUUAGCUAGUUGGUAGGGUAAUGGCCUACCAAGGCGACGAUGGUUAGCUGGUCUGAGAGGAUGAUCAGCCACACUGGAACUGAGACACGGUCCAGACUCCUACGGGAGGCAGCAGUGGGGAAUUUUGCGCAAUGGGCGAAAGCCUGACGCAGCAACGCCGCGUGAGUGAUGAAGGCUUUCGGGUCGUAAAGCUCUGUCAAGGGGAAAGAAGUGUAUUGUGGUUAAUACCCGCGAUACUUGACGGUACCCCUAAAGGAAGCACCGGCUAACUCCGUGCCAGCAGCCGCGGUAAUACGGAGGGUGCAAGCGUUGUUCGGGUUUAUUGGGCGUAAAGCGCGUGUAGGCGGUUUAUUAAGUCUGAUGUGAGAGCCCUGGGCUCAACCCAGGAAGUGCAUUGGAUACUGGUAGACUUGAAUACGGGAGAGGGCAGUGGAAUUCCUGGUGUAGGAGUGAAAUCCGUAGAUAUCAGGAGGAACACCGGUGGCGAAGGCGGCUGCCUGGACCGAUAUUGACGCUGAGACGCGAAAGCGUGGGUAGCAAACAGGAUUAGAUACCCUGGUAGUCCACGCCGUAAACGAUGAGUACUAGGUGUUGCGGGUAUUGACCCCUGCAGUGCCGCAGCUAACGCAUUAAGUACUCCGCCUGGGAAGUACGGUCGCAAGACUAA
rnacentral:rRNA from 1 species